CUACGGGCGGCUCCAGUGGGGAAUAUUGCACAAUGGGCGCAAGCCUGAUGCAGCCAUGCCGCGUGUAUGAAGAAGGCCUUCGGGUUGUAAAGUACUUUCAGCGGGGAGGAAGGGAGUAAAGUUAAUACCUUUGCUCAUUGACGUUACCCGCAGAAGAAGCACCGGCUAACUCCGUGCCAGCAGCCGCGGUAAUACGGAGGGUGCAAGCGUUAAUCGGAAUUACUGGGCGUAAAGCGCAGGCAGGCGGUUUGUUAAGUCAGAUGUGAAAUCCCCGGGCUCAACCUGGGAACUGCAUCUGAUACUGGCAAGCUUGAGUCUCGUAGAGGGGGGUAGAACUCCAGGUGUAGCGGUGAAAUGCGUAGAGAUCUGGAGGAAUACCGGUGGCGAAGGCGGCCCCCUGGACGAAGACUGACGCUCAGGUGCGAAAGCGUGGGGAGCAAACAGGAUUAGAUACCCGAGUAGUC
rnacentral:rRNA from 1 species